rnacentral:lncRNA from 1 species
AUUUGAAAUAAUUCAUCAAAUAAUAUUUGCAGAAAUGUAUUUUUACAAAAUCAUUAUUGUUUUCGAUUUUCGGCUAAAGUUUAACAUGCCGUAGUAUAUAUGCAAUAAUAUAUAGACAAUCUGUGACAUGACCCAAAUUACUGUAACUUGACCUUAACCAGUACACUAAGUAUCGCUUCAAAAUCGAUAGGCAUACAAAACAUAGCAGGAUAUUAGUUCUACUGAUAGUAAAAUCACAAACAUAUUGUGACAUGAGUGUUCAUAUCAUGACCACGCAUUUUUGUUGAAUGUGAAAGAUGUAUAGUGCAGUAGCACCCGAAUUAGAAGAAAUAACAAGGCAUGACACAAGUCAAUUAACAGCGACA